GUGCUUACUUUAGCAGCACAUUUAUUAAAAUUAGAAUGACACAGAGAUGAACAUAACCCUUGAGCAAGAGUGACAUGCAAAUCAUGUGCAUCCUAUUUUU
rnacentral:snRNA from 1 species